ACCUGUCACCACAAAAGUGAAUUGACGUCAGUGCAAAGAUUUAAAGGAUACAACAUUUCCUGUGAGUGUUCUCAGCCUAGGUUGUGAAAGACUGCUUUAAACUCAUGGGGACAACUAAGAGUGACAAGAGGCAUUAUUUUGCUGAGACUUUUCAAUCAUCAUGAUGUCGAUGGCACUGUCUACAAAACUAUCACCACUGGAUUGCCCCUCUUCAGCGGGCAAGGCAGCAGCAGCACUAAUAGGUGGUGUCCCAAUCCUGUAGCCCUCUAGUGAGUGGGGAUAUUGAGAUGAACCAUUGCCCUAUUAGACCAACUAAAAGUCCACAGGAUAAAAAUUGUAAUCUUGGUCCCCCACUUGAUGAAUGGCUAACG
rnacentral:lncRNA from 1 species